rnacentral:rRNA from 1 species
GAUGAACGCUGGCGGCGUGCCUAAUACAUGCAAGUCGAGCGAACGGACGAUAAGCUUGCUUCUCUGAGGUUAGCGGCGGACGGGUGAGUAACACGUGGAUAACCUACCUAUAAGACUGGGAUAACUUCGGGAAACCGGAGCUAAUACCGGAUGAUAUUUUGAACCGCAUGGUUCAAAAGUGAAAGACGGUCUUGCUGUCACUUAUAGAUGGAUCCGCGCUGCAUUAGCUAGUUGGUAAGGUAACGGCUUACCAAGGCAACGAUGCGUAGCCGACCUGAGAGGGUGAUCGGCCACACUGGAACUGAGACACGGUCCAGACUCCUACGGGAGGCAGCAGUAGGGAAUAUUCCGCAAUGGGCGAAAGCCUGACGGAGCAACGCCGCGUGAGUGAUGAAGGUCUUCGGAUCGUAAAACUCUGUUAUUAGGGAAGAACAUAUGUGUAAGUAACUGUGCACAUCUUGACGGUACCUAAUCAGAAAGCCACGGCUAACUACGUG